GAUGAACGCUGGCGGCGUGCCUAAUACAUGCAAGUCGAGCGGAAGGACGAGAAGCUUGCGUCGUUGAUGUUAGCGGCGGGCGGGAGAGUAACGCGUGGAUCACCUACCUAUAAGACGGGGAUAACUUCGAAAAAGCGUAGCUAAUACCGGAUAAUAUUUUGAACCGCGUGGUUCAAAAGUGAAAGACGGCCUUGCGGUCUCUACUAGAUGGAUCUGGGCUGGAUUAGGUAGUUGUUAAGGUAAUAGCUUACCAAGGCGACGAUGCGUAGCCGACUUGAGGGAGUGAUCGCCGACCCUAGAAGGUAGCCACGGUCCAGAGUCCUGCGGGAGGGAGCAGAAGGGAAUGUUAGGCAAUGGUCGGAAGCAUGACGCAGUAACCCGGCGUGAGUGAUGAAGACCUUCCGAUCGUAAUGAUCUGCUUUGGGGGAUGAACAGCUGUCGAAUGAACUGAGGCGUGAUUGACGGUACCGAAUAAGAAAGCACCGGCUAACUACGUG
rnacentral:rRNA from 1 species